GGCGAACGAGGGGAAGUGAAACAUCUCAGUACCCUUAGGAAAAGAAAUCAAUUGAGAUUCCCUCAGUAGCGGCGAGCGAACGGGGAUCAGCCCAUUAAGUUAUGUGUGUUUUAGUGGAACGCUCUGGGAAGUGCGAACGUAGAGGGUGAUAUUCCCGUACACGAAAGGGCACACAUAAUGAUGACGAGUAGGGCGAGGCACGUGAAACCUUGUCUGAAUAUGGGGGGACCAUCCUCCAAGGCUAAAUACUCCUGACUGACCGAUAGUGAACCAGUACCGUGAGGGAAAGGCGAAAAGAACCCCUGUGAGGGGAGUGAAAUAGAUCCUGAAACCGCAUGCAUACAAGCAGUGGGAGCACCUUCGUGGUGUGACUGCGUACCUUUUGUAUAAUGGGUCAGCGACUUAUAUUCAGUAGCGAGGUUAACCGUAUAGGGGAGCCGUAGAGAAAUCGAGUCUUAAUAGGGCGUUUAGUUGCUGGGUAUAGACCCGAAACCAGGCGAUCUAUCCAUGAGCAGGUUGAAGGUUGGGUAACACUAACUGGAGGACCGAACCCACUGUCGUUGAAAAGCCAGGGGAUGACUUGUGGAUAGGGGUGAAAGGCUAAUCAAGCCUGGUGAUAGCUGGUUCUCCCCGAAAGCUAUUUAGGUAGCGCCUCGGACGAAUACCAUAGGGGGUAGAGCACUGUUUCGGCUAGGGGGUCAUCCCGACUUACCAAACCGAUGCAAACUCCGAAUACCUAUGAGUACUAUCCGGGAGACAGACUGCGGGUGCUAACGUCCGUAGUCAAGAGGAAAACAAUCCAGACCGCCAGCUAAGGCCCCAAAAUCAUAGUUAAGUGGGAAACGAUGUGGGAAGGCAUAGACAGCUAGGAGGUUGGCUUAGAAGCAGCCACCCUUUAAAGAAAGCGUAAUAGCUCACUAGUCGAGUCGGCCUGCGCGGAAGAUGUAACGGGGCUAAAACUAUGUGCCGAAGCUGCGGAUGUAUACUUUGUAUACGUGGUAGGGGAGCGUUCUGUAAGCCGAUGAAGGUGUGUUGAGAAGCAUGCUGGAGGUAUCAGAAGUGCGAAUGCUGACGUGAGUAACGACAAAACGGGUGAAAAACCCGUUCGCCGAAAGACCAAGGGUUCCAGUCCAACGUUAAUCGGGGCUGGGUGAGUCGACCCCUAAGGCGAGGCCGAAAGGCGUAGUCGAUGGGAAAAUGGUUAAUAUUCCAUUACUUCUGUGUAAUGCGAUGAGAGGACGGAGAAGGCUAAAUCAGCCUGGCGUUGGUUGUCCAGGUGAAAGGAUGUAGGCAUGUAUCUUAGGCAAAUCCGGGGUACUCUAUGCUGAGAUCUGAUAGCAAGCUGUACUUGUACAGCGAAGUGGUUGAUGCCAUGCUUCCAGGAAAAGUCUCUAAGCUUCAGUUACACAGGAAUCGUACCCGAAACCGACACAGGUGGUCAGGUCGAGUAGACCAAGGCGCUUGAGAGAACUCUGCUGAAGGAACUAGGCAAAAUGGUACCGUAACUUCGGGAGAAGGUACGCUGUUGUUGGUGAUGGAACUCGCUUCCUGAGCUGACGACAGCCGCAGAAACCAGGCCGCUGCAACUGUUUAUUAAAAACAUAGCACUCUGCAAACACGAAAGUGGACGUAUAGGGUGUGAUGCCUGCCCGGUGCUGGAAGGUUAAUUGAUGGGGUUAGCGUAAGCGAAGCUCUUGAUCGAAGCCCCAGUAAACGGCGGCCGUAACUAUAACGGUCCUAAGGUAGCGAAAUUCCUUGUCGGGUAAGUUCCGACCUGCACGAAUGGCAUAAUGAUGGCGGCGCUGUCUCCAGCAGAGGCUCAGUGAAAUCGAAAUCGCUGUGAAGAUGCAGUGUACCCGCGGCUAGACGGAAAGACCCCGUGAACCUUUACUGCAGCUUGACACUGAACUUUGACCUUACUUGUGUAGGAUAGGUGGGAGGCUUUGAAGCUGGAACGCUAGUUCCAGUGGAGCCGUCCUUGAAAUACCACCCUGGUAAUGUUGAGGUUCUAACUCUGUCCCGUGAUCCGGGACGAGGACCGUGUCUGGUGGGUAGUUUGACUGGGGCGGUCUCCUCCUAAAGAGUAACGGAGGAGUACGAAGGUGCGCUCAGCGUGGUCGGAAAUCACGCGUAGAGUAUAAAGGCAAAAGCGCGCUUAACUGCGAGACCCACAAGUCGAGCAGGUACGAAAGUAGGUCUUAGUGAUCCGGUGGUUCUGUAUGGAAGGGCCAUCGCUCAACGGAUAAAAGGUACUCUGGGGAUAACAGGCUGAUACCGCCCAAGAGUUCAUAUCGACGGCGGUGUUUGGCACCUCGAUGUCGGCUCAUCUCAUCCUGGGGCUGAAGCAGGUCCCAAGGGUAUGGCUGUUCGCCAUUUAAAGAGGUACGCGAGCUGGGUUUAGAACGUCGUGAGACAGUUCGGUCCCUAUCUACCGUGGGCGCUGGAAAUUUGAGAGGAUCUGCUCCUAGUACGAGAGGACCAGAGUGGACGAACCUCUGGUGUACCGGUUGUGACGCCAGUCGCAUCGCCGGGUAGCUAUGUUCGGAAGGGAUAACCGCUGAAAGCAUCUAAGCGGGAAGCCUACCUCAAGAUAAGAUUUCCCUAGGACUUUAUGUCCUCUAAAGAGCCGUUCGAGACUAGGACGUUGAUAGGUUGGAUGUGGAAGCAUAGUGAUAUGUGAAGCUGACCAAUACUAAUUGCUCGUGAGGCUUGACUAUACAACACCCAAGCAGUUG
rnacentral:rRNA from 1 species